rnacentral:miRNA from 1 species
UGAUGAUGAUGAUGAUGAUGAUGAUGAUGAUGAUGGUAAUAUCGUAGUAUUUUCGCGGUGCUUGGCAAAAUCCGUAUAAUCGCCAUUACUCAUCAUCAUCACCAUCAAAA